UCAUCCCUCAAGCUUGGCUUGUCAUUGGACUUCAUCGUUAAAGAUGGGCCCGAAAGAUAAUGGCGGUGUCGCGAUCGACCCUCGGUGCAACGAGCUUUGUAGCACGUAUCGUAGUGGUCGGCCGGCCCGGUCUUAACUCUAAAUUUUCUCAGA
rnacentral:misc_RNA from 1 species